GACGUAGGUGGCGAACGUUAUCCGGAAUUAUUGGGCGUAAAGAGCUUGUAGGCGGUUUGUCGCGUCUGCUGUGAAAAUCCGGGGCUCAACCCCGGACUUGCAGUGGGUACGGGCAGACUGGAGUGUGGUAGGGGAGACUGGAAUUCCUGGUGUAGCGGUGGAAUGCGCAGAUAUCAGGAGGAACACCGAUGGCGAAGGCAGUUCUCUGGGCCGUAACUGACGCUGAGGAGCGAAAGCGUGGAGAGCGAACAGG
rnacentral:rRNA from 1 species